AUGAAGUUGUUAGCAGUAGCUUGGCUUAUAAUUCUCACCAUUUCUUUUGAAUAUGGGAUUAAUGUUCAUGGCAGCACCCGUCUUUCAAUGUUUAGGAUUUCUCGCAGCAUCCAAUCAUCUCAAUAUGUUACUAUAACAGGAUGCAACAAUGAUUGUGACACUGCAUGCUGCAACUGUGAUAUCAAAAAACAUCCACCACUCUGUGUUCUAUGUUGUCAAGAAGAUCCUUGA